GCAGAACGAAGCUCCUGUUCUCACCUUUCUAGAGUAGAGUAGAGUUUAGAUUUCAUCUCAUGCAUUGACUUUGAGAGUGCCAAUGUAAAUACUAGAAAACUAGUACAAUAUUACGUUUUUCUUUAUUAUUAAAACAGCAGAAAUCCUGUUUCCUGUGGAUUUCUAACUUAAAAACUGGAGUACUGGAAUGUAGAUUGGAUCUGACAUAAUGUAGUUUUAUGGAACCUUGAUUCCAAAAUCAGAUGAGUAGCAUUGUCCAGAUUUCAUAAUGUAAUUUCACAUGAUUGCAUAGUUUUUCAAAGAAUAUUUCAAGAACUUUCGCUGUUGUCAGGUGGAAGCUAAAGGUGGCUAUAUUUUUUUCACUUGUUUUUCUUUUCUCUCACAGUAAGUUGAUGGACUAAUCCCAGGAAAGAAUACAGCCAAGCAGCCUCUCCCUUCCCUUCCUCUGCACUGAUCACAGCAUGGCUCCACAUGUCCCACCUUAGGUUUGUCACAGAAAGUACUGAUGUAAAACAGGACUGACAAGUGUACGGAGCUGUCAGGAUCUGAAAGCUUGCAGGUGUCUGUCUGCCUCUUACUGCUGGGAUUGGACUCCAAAGCCUGUGGAAGGACUGACGGUCUUCAAGCAGUGUAACAGAGGUGAGCCCUGAAAGCCUCUUUCUAAGCUUUCUUCUGGUGCUCUUACUGCAUCGAGACAGGAGUAACC
rnacentral:lncRNA from 1 species